rnacentral:tRNA from 1 species
GGCCGGUUAGCUCAGCUGGUUAGAGCGUGGUGCUAAUAACGCCAAGGUCAUGUGUUCGAUCCCCACACGGGCCA